UACGUAGGGUGCGAGCGUUGUCCGGAAUUACUGGGCGUAAAGAGCUCGUAGGUGGUUUGUCGCGUUGUUCGUGAAAACUCACAGUUUAACUGUGGGCGUGCGGGCGAUACGGGCAGACUGGAGUACUGCAGGGGAGACUGGAAUUCCUGGUGUAGCGGUGGAAUGCGCAGAUAUCAGGAGGAACACCGAUGGCGAAGGCAGGUCACUGGGCCGCAAGCUGACGCUGAGGAGCGAAAGCAUGGGGAGCGAACAGG
rnacentral:rRNA from 1 species